rnacentral:lncRNA from 1 species
GCACCGCCCCACCUUUUAUCUGGGAGCUUGGCCAGGCAGGGGCUGGCCCAAGCAGCAAGAGCCUCCUCCUCCUCACCGCACCGUGGCUCGGAGGAGUUGCAUCUUUUUGCCUCGGGAGCCUGGCGCAUCGGAGCUUCCCUGCACUCAUCCACGCGGGAUGGUCACCUCCACUCCGGAAUGGGCGUUCCCAACCUCCAGAGGCACGUGACUUUAAAGACCAUAUCCUCACAAAAUAGGAUCAAGUAAAAGCUGCUCAGUGGUGAAGACGCGGAGCUGGACCAGCCCCGGUGCUGGGUGCAGCAGCCGCUGUGCAGGAGGCCGUGUCUGUCCUGUCCAAGAGAGUUGGAGUCAGAACCUCACCUGGAGCCCCACUCCUCCUAGAAUAGAGGAACGGCCCAGGCCACACCCCAGCCGCACCAGUACAGCAGCUGCUUUGCAAAGUGGAUGUCCGCAGGUGCUUCCAACGCAUGUCAGAACUAAGCUGGAGCCCUGUCCACGCUCCUUCGUGCUCUGUCGGGAGGCUCCGCAGGAGCUGGCCGCUGGGUGGGACGCCAGAAGGUGGCUUCAUCUUCCCCGCAGGCUGGGUGAAAAUUCAAAACCAAGGGAAAUUACUGCCGUCAGGGUUGCGGCUUCAGCCAGAGCUUGCCUCCCAGUCUCACACUCAUGCUCUCCUGUGGAAUCAGGCUCUGCGAUUCUUUUGCCCGGAGCAGAAAGGACCUGCGACACGGCCUGGGGAGACGGCUCCACCGUCUGAGGUAGCAGCAAACAAAGCAGCAGCAUGGAGGGUCAGGGGCGAGGGGAGCAGUCCCGGCUGUCUGCUGGCUUUCUGCUUUCUAAGCUUUUAUUUUCAUAGGGAGGAGAGAGAGGGCGCCUGAGUCUGACAAGAGGGUCUCAGCUCCCGUGCUGGCAACUCUCCUGCCGGCCACAGGGACCUCCGGGCCAUGGCGCCCGGCCGGCCUACUGGGUGACAAGCUUGGAGGGUGUGUGGAAGGGCCCAGCUGCUGUGAGGGUGCCGGUGUUCCCUCCCUCGCCUCCUGCCGCACCUGCUCUGAGCUGAGUUCUGCCAUCACAGAUGUGGGUUCGGCAGAGAGACCACCUGGCAAUGAGGCACACGUGUCCGGAUGGAGUGUCUGUAAGGGACGUUUGCUGAUGACUUGCCGAGGCUAUGGUAGAACCCGCCGGCCGUGGAAAGCAGGAGCUGGCACUGGCUGUAGCGCCCGGACCCCAGGCCUCCCGCCUGUGGCCCAGCUUCCUGGCUGCCUCAUAGCUCUAAAGCAAACGCCCUGGCCAAAGAGACGCAUCUCAUCCCCAGCAGUCCCCAGCUCCUGACGCAGCAUGGACCCCUCACUCGCUCCUCCAGGCAGCCCAGGGCCUAUGGUGAUAGAGCCUCUAGAGUGGCGGACCAGGUUCUGAGGGUCUUUAAAACAGUCACCAAUGGGAAGUUUUGUUCACAGAAAUUUAACAUUGAGAAACAAAUGGAAACAUAACAGAAAAGACCGAUUACGUUUCCCAAGUUGGAAAGAAUCGGGUUCCAUCUGCCCAGGAGAAACAGGCGUCUCCACGUGCUGGGAGUGGCGCGUGGGAAGUAGAGGGAGUCUCAAGAACAGCAAGCCAGGGGCGCUGACCUGCAGGGAGGGGCGCCAGGGGCCCAGGGUGGCCUCUCAGGUUCACGAACCAGGGAAGGGACCCCAGCAGACGUGGACUUGCCCACAUCGCCCCUGGGGGAGGCUCUCCAGCCAGCUGAGGACAUACCCGGGGCUCCAGCCCCAUCCACAGCCUCCCUCCCGGUCCGUGAAGGAUUGGUCUCACCCAUGGCAGGAGGUUCUCACCGCGUGGCCUGUGGGUCCUGGCAUGGGGUAAGUUCCCAGGGACUCUGCCAGUGGGUCUGCAGAUCAGAACUACGUUUGUGACAAAGCUAAGUGACACUGUGUGACAAUAUGUCACUACUUUUGUGACAAUGCCUUCUCCAGCGGGCGACAUCUGCGAAUGGCGGCUCCGUAUUGGGCACAGGGCGGCAGCUCCACACCCUGCCUUCCCACCACCAGCACUUACUGUGCAGUAGAAACAAUAGCUCCACUUUUAAAAGGCCCCCUGGGGCAGAAAAACUAUCCGUUCUGUUCUAUCUCAGCCUUGCACACAGCACAGCAGGGUGCAUGGCCACAGGUGGGGCAGUACACGGGAAAUGCAGGCAGAGUGCGUGGACCACACAUGGAAGCUGACGGGACUGGGAGAAAGUGUGUGGCUGAGUCUGGAGCCACGGCCCCCACCCCCCAGCUACGUCUGUACCUGAAAAAACAACCAACUAGCCACGGUCAUCGGGCAUCGGGCAGGCAUUUUCUUGAAAAUGAGCAAAAUGAGCCUGUUGCUUUAAGGUAAACUUGCAGUAUUUGUUGCCAAUAACAAAAUUUGAGCUUUCAAGCAAAAAUUAGAAUUUUGGAAAACUUGUAUCCAUCACUGUGAGCUUCCCAGUCAGCACUUCAAGACUUUUCCGAGGAAGUUGGUGGUGAUAUUCGCA